GGGAUGGGGUGACUAGUGACAGAGAGAGGUAUGGGGUGACUAGUGACAGAGGGGGUGAUUAGUGACAGAGUUAGGGAGGGAGUGACUAGUGACAGAGGGAUGGGGUGACUAGUGACAGUCACCCCCUCCCUCACUCUGUCACUAAUCACUACCUCCCUCUGUCACUAGUCACUACCUCCCUCUGUCACUAGUCACUACCUCCCUCUGUCACUAGUCACUCCCUCACUCUGUCACCAGUCAUCCCCUCACUCUGUCACUAGUCACCUCUUCCCUCCC